rnacentral:snoRNA from 1 species
UUAUCAUGAUGAGCAACAUUGGUCCGUGUUACUGAGCGGCCUCAAGAACCGCAUCA